UACGAAGGGGGGCGAGCGUUGUUCGGAAUUACUGGGCGUAAAGGGCGCGUAGGCGGCCGAUCAAGUCAGAUGUGAAAGUCCUGGGCUUAACCUGGGGACUGCAUUUGAUACUGAUUGGCUUGAAUGCAGGAGAGGAUAGCGGAAUUCCCAGUGUAGAGGUGAAAUUCGUAGAUAUUGGGAAGAACACCGGUGGCGAAGGCGGCUAUCUGGACUGUGAUUGACGCUGAGGCGCGAAAGCGUGGGGGAGCAAACAGG
rnacentral:rRNA from 1 species